GUGCUCACUUUGGCAGCACAUAUACUAAAAUUAGAACAAUACAGAGAAGAUUAGCAAGGCCCCUGUGCAAGGAUGGCAUGCAAAUUUGUGAAGAGUUCCAUAUCUUA